rnacentral:lncRNA from 1 species
AUGGUAUGCUCAUCUGAUUUACAAAUGACAAGGAGCUGGGACUGAUGGCUAACGCAAUAGAGGAUUGAGUCAAUAUCCAAAAAGACCUCAGCAGAUCAGAAUGCAGGACAGACUUGAAUUCAAUGAAAUUUAAGUACUGAAGACACAAAACAAACAAUUUAUAGCCACUCCAUUGGACAGCCUAGAGAUUAGCAAGGGAAAUGAUUCUUCUCCUUUAUUUUCCUGGCACAGAGGAAAUGAUUUUCUACACAGGUGCCUUUCAUGUGGAUCAUCCCCACACCAAGGAGAAGCCUGGAAUGGAGCCUACAAGGUUGGACCUGUGGCUGCAGAGUUUGAGCAUGACCUCAUUUAUCUGGGAAGUGUACCCACUCGAGAAAGGAAGUAGGAUAUCACAGCUAACACCACCUCUAGAGUCCAGAGAUACCUAUCCUCAAUCCUGCUUUCUGGCCCCGACUGGCUCUAUACCCAGAAUCAACUUCUCUGGGGCUCAGUUUCCCAAUCUGAAAAUUCCCAAUGAGUUAUCCAUCCCUGCACUCCUGUCCAGUGAAUUUUCCCUUGUAACGAAGAAAAAGAGUUCAGUGAAACUAAGAGAAACAUCUCUGACCAGGCAAACAUUUGGUACCAGUAGUCAUUCACUUCUCUUAUGAAAUGAAGAUAGACAUUCAUUUCCUCUUCUCUUCUCUUGCUCUAAGAUUAGUCUAAUAGAGUUCAGGAAUUUUUUAAUCUAGGAGACUAUGAACUUAUUUAAAUAUUUAGAUAGCAAUGUGUCAGUAUAUUUGCUUUCCUUUGUAUUCCAUUAUGUUUCAUUUUACACAUUUAAAACCAUGAUUCUGAGAUAGAGUUCAUAGGCAGCAUCAGACAGAAAAAGAGGUCCAUCACACAUAGAAGGGUGUGAACUCCAGCUAUAAUUAGGCAGUGUUGACUUUCAGCUUUAUUGUUCUUUUCAUAGAUGCCAUCGUCAUUAUUAUAGAAUUCUUGUAUUUCCAGUUGGCCUUACCUCACUCUUGAACAGUACAAACACAUUGACCAGUCCUUGUUUCUUUGACUUCCUUGUAUGUGCCAUUCUUCUUGGCACAGUAAUAUCCCUUUAAAGAGCUAUCAAACAUGCCACACACCUGAGCAUGGCCAGAGCCAAAUUAAAAU